rnacentral:rRNA from 1 species
GACGAACCGUGCGAACGUUAUUCGGAAUCACUGGGCUUAAAGCGCGUGUAGGCGGGACGGCACGUCGGUCGCUGAAAUCCCCCGGCUUAACCGGGGAACUGGCGUCGAUACGACCGCCCUGGAGGGGCGUAGGGGGACCUGGAACUUCCGGUGGAGCGGUGAAAUGCGUAGAUAUCGGAAGGAACACCGGUGGCGAAAGCGGCGCGCUGGACCUCUACUGACGCUGAGGCGCGAAAGCCAGGGGAGCAAACGGG